GAUGCAGGCGGGCACAGUAGCUGCUCCUCCAGGCGCUGUACCGGCUCCUCCAAGGCCCCUUGGCUGUUUUUGCUCAGCCACAGACUCCUGUUCCGCUCUCUCGUUUCUUCGUUCAGUCCCACGUUUGCUCCCUGGUGUUUUCUGAACGUAUCUGCGCGCUAAUAUUGCGGAGAGCGACGCAAGAUCCCAGUCCUGUCCCCAAAUGAAGAAACAAAACGAAGGAUCACAAUGCGGAUCAGUAAUUCUGCAUUUUAAAUUCCUCGGAACUCAGGACGAUAGUAGGGAGGAACUGCAUUGCGUGUUGCUUGAGGAAGUUUAUUCUUGGUCUAAAGUCCUAGAGCACGGUUUAUUCUUAUCUAUAUGAGCGGGUCCUGGUGGUGCUGGCCUAUAAUCCCAGCACCAUGGGAGACUGAGGCAGGACGAUUACCACAAAUUCGAAGCCGGUCUGGACUACAUAUUGAGUUAAACCCCAGCCUAAACUACAUAGUGAGACCCUGUCUCAAAGAAAUAACCACAAAAACAAUUCUUAUUAACGCAGCUGAUCACCCAACUAUCUCAGGCCCUGUCCCUAGCUGCCACAUAUUCAUAAGCUAACUAUCGAAAGUGUCUUUUACAUAACCAUGCCUGUUUCCUAUCUUGGAGAACUGCUUUUGUAGCCAGGUAUUAGAUACAUGGGGAAGGAGAGUUUGCUCCGUUCCCCAGCCAGCAGGGGACCGGGCAGGACUUUUUCAACCUCACCUUCCCGAUUCCGCUUGACCCAAGGUCAAGCCCUUGUUCCACAGCGCAUCCGCUGAGCGGCCUUUGCCCUCAGUUCUGUGCUGACUGCUUUACAAAUUGAUCACAACCUUCCAGCAUUGCCUAGCUGGAGCGGGCACACUGGAACUGCCCCACGAGGAAAGCAAAGCUUUUGUGCACACGGAUCAUUGCCAAAGCAGACCCUGUCCUGGGGCACAGCUGGUCGGGUCAGAGUGCCAAGGGCCGAGAUCACGUGGUUUCCUCUCUCAGACUGUGGAACAAAGCUAGAAAACAAGAAGAGCAGAAAACUAUUAAGCGUUAGCAGGAAGCACUGAAGCCAGGACCCCAGUCUCAGUCAGCCCGACUCUACAGCCCAUCCUGCUCACCGCUGCACGUGCCUGGCCACGUACCGGCCACGUCCCAAGUUUCUGGUUAAGGCUGGGCAAUCAGAUUCUUGCUCAGCAAAAUAUUCACCACCCCACACCCUUUCCCUGUUGCUGUGAGCAACACAUACUGACCUUGACUAGUAGAAUGAGAAUGAACAAGACGUACACUGCAGCCUCGGGGGGCUGGUGUAGUGUGGUGCAGCUUCUGGCCCUGAGGAUCUGCCAUGCAAGCGCCAUACGAGGUGGACACGGGCUACCCCUACAGCCUGCACCCAGGACAAGCGCAGAGCCACCCCGCCCAGCCCAAACUAGAUGAGCCAGUCGACCUCAAACUACAGACCCUGAGCACAAAUGUAAAUGUAAGUUGCUGUCAGCCGCUGAGGCCAGGGUCUUUGUUACACAGCCUCAUUGGGGUGACGUCUGGCUAAUACAACUGUUCCCGGCUCUAGGACCAGUGUGACCACUUACUAACUGUGCAAGCUUGGGUAGGUUACUUCACUUCAGCAGACCUUUGUCUCCCCACUCUAUAAUGGUACAAUAAUAGUAUUGAUUUUGUAGGCCCCUCAUGGGGAUCAAAGGUGAUAAUGCAGUGCCGACCCUGGAGAGUAUUUCUGUAAAUGCUAGUUAUUCAUCCACUGUCACCAGCACGGCUGUCGUUAUCAGUAGCUGUGACCCUCAGGAUCCAGUUGGAAGCUCACACCUUUACUCAAUGAUUCUGACAGUCCAAGGUCAGUGAAUGGGAGGGAGGCUGGGGUGUAGCUCAGAAGGUAGACAGCUCUUGCCCAAUAUGCUCCAAACUUGGUUUUUGUCCCUAGCGUGGCAAAAACAAAACAAAACAAAAAGAAAAAACUGACCCAUGAAUGGGAAGGGAGUUAGCUAAGAGGGCAGCUCCCCAAGUGCCUCUGCCAAGUGCCAGAGCUGCUCCCUGGCCUCUGACUCAUGCGGGGCUGGCCCCACCCACCUCAGUGAGCGUCUGCAGAGGGCACUUGGGCACCAGAUGGCCAAGUACCUCGUGGGAAGGCAGGUCAGGUCAAAGUGACCCACUGGCCAAGAGGGACUCGAAGCUGCCCCUGCCCUCCUGAUGGGCGUCACCCCCGUCAGCCCAGGAUUUAUGUAACCAGCACUUUAGCAGCCCCUG